rnacentral:rRNA from 1 species
UGCUAUCGGAGUUCGAUUAAGCCAUGCGAGUCGAGGGUUUUGAUCUUCGGAUUAAGGCCCGGCGCACCGCUCAGUAACACGUGGAUAACCUGCCCUUAGGACCGGGAUAACCCCGAGAAAUUGGGACUAAUACCGGAUAGAUCAUUAUUGCUGGAAUGCAUAAUGGUUCAAAGUUCCGGCGCCUAAGGAUGGAUCUGCGGCCGAUUAGGUAGUUGCCGGGGUAAUGUCCCGACAAGCCGAUGAUCGGUACGGGUUGUGAGAGCAAGAGCCCGGAGAUGGAUUCUGAGACAUGAAUCCAGGGCCUACGGGGCGCAGCAGGCGCGAAAACUUUACACUGCACGAAAGUGCGAUAAGGGAACUUCGAGUGUCAAUGCACUGCAUUGACUGUCCAGAUGCCUAAAAAGCAUCUGCUAGCAAGAGCCGGGCAAGACCGGUGCCAGCCGCCGCGGUAACACCGGCGGCUCAAGUGGUGGCCGCUUUUAUUGGGUCUAAAGGGUCCGUAGCCGGCUUAGCAAGUCCUUUGGGAAAUCUAGCAGCUCAACUGUCGGGCUUCUGAAGGAAACUGCUAGGCUUGGGACCGGGAGAGGUUAGAGGUACUUCAGGGGUAGGAGUGAAAUCCUGUAAUCCCUGAGGGACCGCCGGUGGCGAAGGCGUCUAACCAGAACGGGUCCGACGGUGGGGGACGAAAGCUAGGGGCACGAACCGGAUUAGAUACCCGGGUAGUCCUAGCCGUAAACGAUGUGAGCUAGGUGUCAGCUACGGUAUGUCCGUACCUGGUGCCUUAGGGAAGCCGUGAAGCUCACCACCUGGGAAGUACGGUCGCAAGGCUGAAACUUAA